CGAACAUAGAAAACAUAUCAAAUGUUUAAACUGAGUAAAUGUACCACUUUAAGAAAAGAAAACAAGGUAAUUUUGAAUUUCAUGGCCACAACACGUCUCAAAAAUAAAAUAAAAGACUGGAAAAGUAAGUGUUACUAAAAAGAAACAGCUGGAGAAACAUUUUGCAACUAAUUAUGUUAAUUGGCAACAGGUCAGUAACAUGAUUGAAUAUAAAAAGUGUCUUAGGCCGCAUUUACACUACAUGGUUCAAGUGACCCAAUUCCGAUUUUUUCCUCCCAUGUGGCACAGAUCGGAUAUAACCUAUGAACGUGUAAGCAGGAAAAAAGCACAUGGAUUCUGAUAGUCUCAGAUCCGUUUCAGCCAUCAUUCAUAUGUGGAAAUAAAUCUGAUAUGAAUGAUACACCAUGUAAGCGGACAGAUCGGAUAUUCCCCUGUCAAUGCGAGUCGUACGUCAUUAAAAAAACGACGGUGCCGAAUGACGUCAACUCAGAUGGACACCAACCGCGUCGAUCUCAACAAGGGCUCUCUUCUUUUUUUCUCCACCUUAAGAGGCCAGUGUUUUGCUUACCAUUAAAUAUGGUGCGGAAAGCAAAAGCUUGUAUCAUAUUUUUGGCCUAAGCUUCCAGUGAUGUCUACCUUGGGUUUGUUUCACGAAGUGUAUAGUGUAAAUGCAGAUAUUGGAUAUGGAUCACUUUUAAAAGACGAUGUCAGCGGUCAACAAAUCAGAAUUGGGCAUCAAGACCUGCAGCCUUAGAGAGGCAGAGUCUCUCAGAAGUAAAGAUGGGAUGGAAUCUGGAUAAAAGCAUAUGUUGCUCUAAAACCUGUGCAUACCUUUCAGCACUGAUGGUGCCUUUCCAGAUGUGAAAGCUGCCCAUUCCAUAGGCACUAAGGCAUCCCAUACCAUCAGAGAUGCAGGCUUCUGAACUGAGCGCUGAUAAAAAGCCGAAUGGUCCCUCUCCUCUUUAGUCCUCUUUAGUUUAGGGGAUGUGGUGUCCAUGGUUUCCAAAAAGAAUUUCAAAUUUCGAUUCGUCUGACCACAGAACAGUUUUCCACUUUGCCUCAGUCCAUUUUAAAUGAGCUUUGGCACAGAGAAGACAGCGACAUUUCUGGAUCAUGUUCACAUAUGGUUUCUUCUUUGCAUGAAAGAGCUUUAACCAGCAUUUGUGGCUGGCACGGCAAACUGUGUUCACAGACAAUGAGUUCUGGAGGUGUUUCUGAGCCCAUGAAGUGAUUUCCAUUACAGAAUCAUGCCUGUUUUUAAUGCAGUGCCGCCUGAGGGCCUGAAGAUCACGGGCAUGUAAUAUUGAUUUUCAACCUUGUCCCUUGAGCACAGAGAUUUAUCCAGAUUCUCAGAAUCUUUUGAUGAUGUUACGUACUGUAGAUUAUGAGAUAUGCAGUCUUUGCAAUUUUACAUUGAGGAACAAUAUUCUGAAAUUUUUCCAUAAAUUGUAGACACAGUUUUCCUAAGAUUGGUGAACCUCUGCCCAUUUUUACUUCUGAAAGAUUCUGCCUCUCUAAGAUACUCUUUUUAUACCCAAUCAUGUUACUGACCUGUUGUCAAUUAACCUCCAGCUGUUUCUUUUUAGUAACACUUAUUUUCCAGCCUUUUGUUGCCCUUCUGCCAACUUUUUUGAGAUGUGUUGUGGCCAUGAAAUUCAAAAUUACCUUAUUUUUUUCUUAAAAUGGUACAUUUACU
ensembl:lncRNA